ACUAGGCGAGGUGGCUCACACCUGUAAUUCCAGCAGCUCAGGAGGUUGAGGUGGGAGGAUUGCUUGAGCCCAGGAUUUCAAAGCUGCAGUGAGCUAUGAUUGUGCCACUGCAUUCUAGCCUGGGCAACAGAGUGAGACCCCAACUCUC
rnacentral:SRP_RNA from 1 species